rnacentral:ncRNA from 14 species
CCAACGGCCCUCUUUAGGGCCACAAAUGCCAAUAAUCCUAUUUUUU